rnacentral:rRNA from 1 species
AUUGGAAGUUGCAUAGCCGAAGUGGAGAACGGGUCCAUGUGAACAGCAAUCGGGCUUG